rnacentral:rRNA from 1 species
CGGUCUGUUUUUGUGAUGACUCUGGAUAACUUUGUGCCGACCGCAUGGCCUUGCGCCGGCGGCGUAUCUUUCAAAUGUCUGCCCUAUCAACUUUCGAUGGUAGGUGACAUGCCUACCAUGGUUGUAACGGGUAACGGAGAAUCAGGGUUCGAUUCCGGAGAGGGAGCCUGAGAAACGGCUACCACAUCCAAGGAAGGCAGCAGGCGCGCAAAUUACCCACUCCCGGCACGGGGAGGUAGUGACGAAAAAUAACAAUGCUGGGCUUUAAGUCCGGUAAUUGGAAUGAGUACAC